UACAGAGGGUGCAAGCGUUAAUCGGAAUUACUGGGCGUAAAGCGUGCGUAGACGGUUAUGUAAGUCAGGUGUGAAAGCCCCGGGCUCAACCUGGGAAUUGCAUUUGAGACUGCAUAGCUAGGGUGCGGAAGAGGGAAGCGGAAUUUCCGGUGUAGCGGUGAAAUGCGUAGAUAUCGGGAGGAACACCAGUGGCGAAGGCGGCUGUCUGGGCCAGUUCUGACGCUGAGGCGCGAAAGCGUGGGGAGCAAACAGG
rnacentral:rRNA from 1 species